rnacentral:lncRNA from 1 species
CUUGGUUUUUAGUUUCUCUCUGGUAUUGUCUGCUACUAGAUAGAAGAUGCAGUAGCUAGGCAGACCAAAAAACUNNNNNNNNNNNNNNCCUGCUGACAAUAGGAGCAGUUCCCUUCUUCUAUCCUCCUCUCUCCAUGAAGGAAAAGAACCCAGACUUCUCAUUGCUUGAUAAGGAGGCAAACAAGCCUUGUUAUCUCCAUUCUACAGAAACAGGAGCUUCAGGCAGGGGGAAGGGUCACCUUGGAAAAUUCAGUAGGUGCCUAUCUGCUUCUUAAAGCUAUCCUAUAACCGAGACAACAUCUGAGGCAGAGACGGACAAAGGAUUCUGCGUCCAUCUUUCAAUCUCAUGUCUCCAACCACAAAUCAUGCUGCUAGCUUUUCUACUCCUCUGUGAGGGAAACUUCAUUUUUCAUUUUAUAUUGGAAGGAGCAGGAGAAAAAGGGGAGAUAGGCUGACUGUAGAAUCUCCUGCUCCUAAUGGGAACACUGCUACAGCUUGUUUUAUGACCAAGACU